CAGCAGACACGACGAACACGAAACGAUUGAGAUACGAGUUGAAUGUGACGAGAAACUACAUUCAUACGGCUUUAAAUGUAAGGGAAUAUUUAACUGUACUCCUUUAUUAUCGUUUCUCAGGGGCUAGUCUCAUCCCUAGACCACAGUCCUCACAAUCGAUAUCAACUUGCUACAUUGAACAUCUGAAGCCAACACUAUAGCAGAACGAACUACAAAAAGGAACAGCUGGAACUACGAAUAAAUGAACAAUAUUAACAGUUCGAACUACAAAAAAAAUGAAAACAGCAAAAUCGGGUCCCGAUUCCGGAUCAAGGCGUACCCGCCCCUAACAGUGAUGUUGCAAUUGCAAUUAUCCGCAGCGGCGAUUUUUGUGGGGUAGGUUAUCGGAAGUUAAAUCGAGCACAUAAGGGCGCCCAUCGCCCGUCUUACGAUCAACUGAACUAAGCGAGGAAAAGCUGAAGAGCGUUUGCGAUCGGCCACCCGAUUAGCUCAGAGCUCAGAGAGAGAGAGAGAGAUAAGGUAGAGUAGAAGAAGGAGAGAGCGAAUCGGAUGCCCUUUGAAAUGUCUUUGACGCACAAAUGCAGCUGCGCAUAUGUGCAGCAGCGGCGACCACAAUUUACAGCGUAUGCUUGUGCCAAAUAUUCGGCAUCGAGCAAAAAUUUAAAUAAAUCGAUAGUUGUAGUUUAUUUGAUAUAUAAUUACUGUUCAGGAAGGUACAUUUCAAGUUUGGUGACUCUAGCUCUUAAAAAUUUAGAGAUUUGCUCAAAAAAUAGGAUUGCGAUAUCGAUUUUUAUCGAUCGCGUGGAAAUGGGAAAAGUUAUCGAAAUUCGGAAGCAAACUCGUACUGCACAUGCAAUAGGCAAAAGCUUUUUUGUAAAACGGUAUCAUUCGCCUAUCUAGGUCGCCGUGCAACCAUCCGAUCUGGGUAGUAAGUAAAAAGGCAUUGAUAACUCAGGUGAGAAGUGCCUGGUCGUAGAUUUCAGAAAACGCAAUCUAUCAAAACGCGAGAAGAUAAGAUAUCGGGAAGAAUUUUAACGUCUACUUCGAUAUUAUCGAAAAAUGUUAUGGAUAUUGGCGAGGCUUUAAGAAACAUCCAGGACGUCAACUGUCGACCCUAUAAUGCCGUACGCGCACCCAAUAUCACGGCACAGCCAGUUAAUAGCAGGUGAAAACCGCGCAGGACCUCCUUCCACGGCCAUUGCCUCUGCUGGAACUCCAAUCGUUACACAAGGUUCUCGAAGGAGUUUAUGGCGUCCUUGCCAUUGACGUUCAACAGUUCGAGUUACAGGUACACACUUUACCGUACGUUGGCAUACGCUCCAUCCAGCUGGAAGUUAUCCUCUCUUCGGUCCUUUACCCUGAAGUUACUACUAUUGAGAUUGCGCAGCCCGCUGCUGUGAUUUCGGUGGCACCGGCUUUGAAAACGAUCUGACCUUUCACGCUCCUUCGGAAUGGUGAAGAGCUAUGGUAGGGGGAAAUUUCGACCUAUGUCCA